rnacentral:rRNA from 1 species
UACGUAGGGUGCAAGCGUUGUCCGGAAUUAUUGGGCGUAAAGAGCUCGUAGGCGGCCUGUUGCGUCGGCUGUGAAAACCCGGGGGCUCAACCCCGGGCCUGCAGUCGAUACGGGCAGGCUAGAGUCCGGUAGGGGAGACUGGAAUUCCUGGUGUAGCGGUGAAAUGCGCAGAUAUCAGGAGGAACACCGGUGGCGAAGGCGGGUCUCUGGGCCGAUACUGACGCUGAGGAGCGAAAGCGUGGGGAGCGAACAGG